rnacentral:rRNA from 1 species
AUGGAUCCUUCCCCGGUCGGCCAGGAAGCACGUCGGUUGUGCGCAGUGACCGGCGGCCGGGGAUUCAUGGCGAGGCACCUGGUCGCGGCGCUGCUCCGCUCCGGAGAUUGGCACGUGCGGAUCACUGACCUCGGCCCCGAUGUCGCCAUGGAGCCCGACGAGGAUGAUGGGCUCCUUGGCGCCGCUCUGCGUGACGGCCGCGCCACCUACAUCUCUGUCGACGUCUGCCAAUUGGAGUAG